rnacentral:other from 1 species
GUUGGCCUUACAGCAAACCUUUGAAGAUUACCCCUUGUCAACUG